GUACACGGCCAAGGAUUACCAUCGAAGCAACACAUGCGUACAGCUUGAGCCCAGGGGGUCACCCUGGUUCUCUCGUCUGCUCAUCAACCCACCGCUCUUUGGGGAAAGUCUCCGGACACUAGGACAGAAAGUGUCAGCGCUCAUGCGCAGAAGUUUGGCUUCACCGGCGGCCGGCUCUCGGGCCGGAACCAAGAUGAGGACCUGGCCGUCUCGCCUCGUUGCGAGAUGGCCGGCCCUUGGAGUUCACUCGAGUCGUCGGUGGCCAACGAGUUCGUCAUAGCACAGUUAUGUUCAAUCAGCGCCGGGGCCAACUGACCGUCGUGACAGCCCCCGGACGCCAACUCAACGGAGCUUACUCUGGCCGUGUA
rnacentral:RNase_MRP_RNA from 2 species